rnacentral:rRNA from 1 species
ACACGGGGGGCGCAAGCGUUAUUCGGAAUUAUUGGGCGUAAAGGGCGUGUAGGCGGUUUUAUCGGUCAGAUGUGAAAGCCCAGGGCUCAACCCUGGACGUGCAUUUGAAACAGUAAGACUUGAGUACGGUAGAGGAAAGCGGAAUUCCUGGUGUAGAGGUGAAAUUCGUAGAUAUCAGGAGGAACACCGAUGGCGAAGGCAGCUUUCUGGACCGAAACUGACGCUGAUGCGCGAAGGCGUGGGUAGCGAACAGGAUUAGAAACCCGAGUAGUCC